rnacentral:rRNA from 1 species
UACGUAGGGGGCAAGCGUUGUCCGGAUUUAUUGGGCGUAAAGAGCGUGUAGGCGGCCAGACAGGUCCACUGUGAAAACCCGAGGCUCAACCUCGGGACGUCGGCGGAAACCAUCUGGCUAGAGUCCGGAAGAGGAGAGUGGAAUUCCCGGUGUAGCGGUGAAAUGCGCAGAUAUCGGGAGGAACACCAGUGGCGAAGGCGACUUCCUGGCCUGUUCUUGACGCUGAGGCGCGAAAGCUAGGGGAGCAAACGGG